rnacentral:tRNA from 1 species
GCCUGGGUGGCUCAGUCGGGUAAGCAUCUGAUUUCGGCUCAGGUCGUGAUCUCACAGUUCAUGAGUUCGAGCCCCAUGUCAGGCU